GCCGGUGUGGUGAAAUUGGUAGACACGACGGAUUCAAAAUCCGUUUCCUUCGGGAGUGGCGGUUCAAGUCCGCCCACCGGUA
rnacentral:tRNA from 1 species